AUUUUCGUAGAUUCUAAAAUGAUAACAAUGUUUAAAAAUAUAUUUCUUAAAUAUAUAAUCGUGUAGAAAUCAAUAUAAAUGGAUAUAUCAUGUCUAUUUAUGUUGAUGUAUCAUAUUACAAGUCAUACAUUGUCAUUAUUGUAGAAAGUCAAAGCCAAUAAAUUAUGAUAAAAAAAGAAGAAGUUGCAUUACAAGUGAAGUGGACCCUUUGCUGCGUUAGGGUAUCUUUAUAAGGUAAACACAAAUGUUUCGUUAAUUGCAGCUUUUUUUUUUGUUUUCUUCUGUUUACGAAGCACAUCGUACUCGUAGUCAUCGGAAUCGGUGCGAAUACUGCGGCUGCAGUUGGCCAAAAGCCAGAAGCCAAUGGCCAAAAAGCAAAAGAGAGACCAGAAGCUUAUCAGCCCUCUCCGCUCACCUGUCUCUCCCUUUGGCCACCUUUGCUGCGGAAGAGGUGCAUAAAUUAUGCGAUAUCGAGCGGAAUGUUAAUGCCCGGCGCUCAUUCUACAUUUUCUGUUGCUUUUUGGACCCCCGGACUUAUCAAUAGGGCGAUGCACGCCGCUGCCACGCGGCCAGAUCGUUUCGAAAUGAAUAAUGCCCGAGCGGCUACUUUAAUUAACGAAAUCCGAGCCACGAAAUGUGGCAACUGUUUUUAUGACCACAACAAGCAGUGUAAUCAAGAUAAUGACGGCAAAUAUUUAAAUACUGAUUGCGGGCCAAUUUGACAAGUUCAAAUAUUUAUGGCUUAAUAUUUAGGUAAAUCAAGCAAUUUAGGCAAAGGCCCUGGGACUACAAAACACAAAAAACGUUGUCUGGCCAAGUGAAACGAUAAGUUAUUUAUGGCCGGCAACCAGUGUCCAGAUAAUUUAAAUUGAAUCUGAUUUAUGGUGGCUGUAGGCAAAUUUCUGGUUUCCUGCUAAGUACCACCUUUCACCAGGGCUUUCCCCAUUGUGCUUUCUGCUCCCUUCCCAACUCAAUCAAUCAGUUUCAGCUUGUAAUUCUGUAUUAAUUACUCUCCGGUGUCUCGGCAAAUGCCAAAACGAAAAAAUAAUCAAAAACCAUAUAAAAAAAAGCACAAACACACUGAAUCGUUCGAUUAUAUGUAAAUGCCUUGCCAGACGGCUGAUAAAACAGUAAGAACGAAAACUGUUCAUCAGAUAAGAAUCCCAGACCGGCGAACAUAUAUAUAUUUUAAAAUCGGAUAAUGGCGCUACGUAGAAGGGAAAUACCCAUUUGACCGAUAGCCUCCAGCAACAAAGUUCUCAAGUCAUAUUUCCGCUGAAAGGUUCAAAAAUCAAUAAACGAAAUACCACUGUAAACGGAUCAAAACUGGUUAUCUGAGGACUGUUCCUACGUCAGCAUAACUCAAAAGCCUCCAUGCCCACCAACUACUAAACUAAAAAGUACUUUAGCAAACUUUUUUUUUCUCCGCUUAAAAACUUAAUUUAAAAAGCAUAUUUAUGCUUUGUUUUUGAGGACACGCAACAAAAAUUAUUUCUAUUUUUUAUAGUGUAAUAAAUGAU